GUGGGGAAUUUUGGACAAUGGGCGAAAGCCUGAUCCAGCCAUGCCGCGUGCAGGAUGAAGGCCUUCGGGUUGUAAACUGCUUUUGUACGGAACGAAAAGACUCCUUCUAAUAAAGGGGGUCCAUGACGGUACCGUAAGAAUAAGCACCGGCUAACUACGUGCCAGCAGCCGCGGUAAUACGUAGGGUGCAAGCGUUAAUCGGAAUUACUGGGCGUAAAGCGUGCGCAGGCGGUUAUAUAAUACAGAUGUGAAAUCCCCGGGCUCAACCUGGGAACUGCAUUUGUGACUGUAUAGCUAGAGUACGGUAGAGGGGGAUGGAAUUCCGCGUGUAGCAGUGAAAUGCGUAGAUAUGCGGAGGAACACCGAUGGCGAAGGCAAUCCCCUGGACCUGUACUGACGCUCAUGCACGAAAGCGUGGGGAGCAAACAGGAUUAGAUACCCUAGUAGUCC
rnacentral:rRNA from 1 species